AUUGCCUCAGUAACGGCGAGUGAAGCGCCAACAGCUCAAAUUUGAAAUCUGGCCCUAGGCCCGAGUUGUAAUUUGCAGAGGAUGCUUUUGGCAAGGUGCCUUCCGAGUUUCCUGGAACGGGACGCCAUAGAGGGUGAGAGCCCCGUCUGGUCGGACACCGAGCCUCUGUAAAGCUCCUUCGACGAGUCGAGUAGUUUGGGAAUGCUGCUCAAAAUGGGAGGUAUAUGUCUUCUAAAGCUAAAUACCGGCCAGAGACCGAUAGCGCACAAGUAGAGUGAUCGAAAGAUGAAAAGCACUUUGAAAAGAGAGUUAAAUAGCACGUGAAAUUGUUGAAAGGGAAGCGUUUAUGACCAGACUUGGCCCGGUUGAUCAUCCAGCCUUCUGGCUGGUGCACUCUGCCGGUCCAGGCCAGCAUCAGUUCGUCGCGGGGGAUAAAGGUUUCGGGAAUGUAUCUCCUCCGGGAGUGUUAUAGCCCGUUGCGUAAUACCCUGCGGUGGACUGAGGUCCGCGCUCUGCAAGGAUGCUGGCGUAAUGGUCAUCAACGACCCGUCUUGAAACACGGACCAAGGAGUCGUCUUCGUAUGCGAGUGUUCGGGUGUAAAACCCCUACGCGUAAUGAAAGUGAACGCAGGUGAGAGCUUCGGCGCAUCAUCGACCGAUCCUGAUGUUCUCGGAUGGAUUUGAGUAAGAGCAUACGGGGCCGGACCCGAAAGAAGGUGAACUAUGCCUGUAUAGGGUGAAGCCAGAGGAAACUCUGGUGGAGGCUCGCAGCGGUUCUGACGUGCAAAUCGAUCGUCAAAUAUGGGCAUGGGGGCGAAAGACUAAU
rnacentral:rRNA from 1 species